rnacentral:lncRNA from 1 species
UAACUAAUAACUAUGAUAUUUUGAAGUGAGGCUUCUAUUAAGAAAACAAAAAGGGUCAAAUAGAAGCCACUGAUUUGGGGAUUAUAUUAUUUACAUAUUUCAUAGAAUUUCUCUCUUUUUUCUUCAUGCAGACAGUUGCCAUCUAAAGAUACAUUUAAAGCUUGCCCUUCCUUUGGGAGAACAUAUGAGGUGACAUUACCUCAGAGAACAAAGAACCCUGGGUUUGUCCUGCCUCUCGUUUGGCCUUGCAUAAGAAGACUAAACUCAGGAUGUUUUUGGGGCCGUUGACAAGCUAGCCACUUUUGGAGUAAGACCAGAGCCAGAACUCUGACUUCCCAGACCUAUGGUGAUCCUUCCUCAGUGAAGACAGAUAAUGAGGUGGAUGGAAGGUAUGGAGACUCUAGGAAUUGAAUCCUUAAGAAACGUCGCCAGGAGCCUUGCCUACAAGCUGCUGCCUUUGAGAAUUGUUGCAAGCCCUUAAAAAAGAGUGACCAGGAUGCAUUCCAUUCCUUGUGAAUUUCUUAGUUUAUGAGAAGAACACAAUUGUAAGGGGUCCUCCUAGGGACGGUUAGACACGUCUAAUAUUCUAAUCACUUUCCGCAUGUCUGAAAUCUCUUAAGACUGUUACUCAUAUUUUGAAGCAUUUCACAAGACGCAGCUUUCAGGGUGCCCACAUACAGCCACACGUGGUGGCGACAAGGGGGAUUCUGAGUUAAAAUUCUAAGAGCGCCUCUCAAUCUUUCAGCUUAUAAAUCCUUGCUAAGUUUAGAAAUCUUAAUAUAGUGAACUAUCUUCAACUGACAUAUUUUGUCCCAACCUUUCAUUUAUUAAUUCAUUCAGUCACUCAUUUA